AGCUUUUAAUGAAGUGUAAGGCUUAUUAAUUUCAUUUUGAAGCAUGUGUGUUUUGUUCUUUUUCUUUCUUUCUUUCUUUCUUUGUUUUUUUGUUUAUUUUUGGAAAAUUAUCUUUCACUGUUACCAUCAUAACAUCACUUGGUGUUGCACCUAUAGAAAACAACCACGAAGAAAUGUUCCAUUCAGCAGGCCAAUCACAACUUACAUUUCCUUUAAUGGAAAAUGUUCAUAGGUCAUGACAUCUGUUAAUAGGAAGUGUUGUUGUCUUCUAACUCCAGGUUAUCGUCAUUAGACAUGGACGGGGUGCAUGCAUUUCUGGUUGUUCUUUUAGGAGCUUUAUCUUCCAGUCAAGAUCUGAGAAAUGCAUCGGUGAUAGAGAUGAGAGUCAGACCAGGAGAAAACAUCACUCUCUACUGUGAUUGUAAAUCAUCAGUUGGAGUCUACAUAGUGUGGUACAGGAAUUGUUCUCAUGAGAAGCAGCCUUCCCUGGUAUUAAAAACCUGGCUUCAUCUGAAAUAUCGUGUCCCACACUCAGAUUAUCAGUCUGCUUACUUCCAUCUCCUGAAUCCAUUUCCUGAUUUUCAUCUGGUAAAGAACAAUUUCUCUCAAUCUUAUGACCUGCUGAUCACAAACAUCACUGAGACUGAUGAGGGCCUUUACUACUGUGGAACUGAACAGCUCAAGGUUAAGGAAGAAGAAAAAAUUAUCCAAGAACAUGUGCACACAUAUAGUAAUAUCACAACGAAAAUCGUGCUUCAUAAGGAUUCUGACUCCACUGACUCCAGUCCUUGCUCUGACUCCUGUGUUUCCAGUGUUGUGUCCAGGAUGAUGGUGCUUACUCCAGCAUGUUCUAUUUUCCUUUCCUUUAUCUCCUUUGUAUUUGUUUAUCAACUGUGUGAAAAAACAGAAAAAGGACUUAAAAUUCAUCAGAAAAUAACAAGACAGUAUGAGGUAAGAUUAAGAACUUUUUCUUCUUCGUCUGUUAAUUAGCAUUAGAUUUACAUGAGCGCAUAUGGAUGAAUCAUGUCUAUCCCCAUUCUUUUAAUGAUAUGUGCUACUCAAGAAGAACAUGUCUAUUUUAAAACACUUUUAAAAUCAUUUUUAAAUAGUAUUGAUUAAGUUUUCAUAAUUAAAUUAAAAACUAUUUUGAAAUUCCAUGAACUACAUGCUUGUAAGGAGAAUGCUAAAAAAGCUUCUUUGUAUCAUGGAUAACCCCUCUCACCCCAUGCACGCCUCCAUGAUGGACCAUCGGAGCACACGCAGCAAAAGACUCAUUGUCCCGAAAUGCAGAACUAACCCCCACAGGAAUUCCUUUGUGCCAGUGGCAAUAAGACUGUACAACUCUUCCUCACCCUGAUGAAGACUUGUGUUUAACAGAAGUCUUGUUCGGGGCUCAGGAUGGAUAUAAACAUCAAUAGAGAAAAUGAAGAAAACAUUGGGAAUUUUUCACAUUUUCAAAGACAAAUAAAAUCCCAGGGUAUUACAAUAGUUGUAACUUGCCAGUCUUAUUGUCAUGGUCCAGAGUCUGGUGACUCCAUGUUUGUGUUUUUUGAUUAUUAAUAUUCUUUAGUUAGUUUCUGGUGUUCUUUAAUGAUUUUUAGAUCUUAGGUUUUGUCAUUGUGCCUCCCUUGUGCUCCAUGUGUCACGUUCAGUCAUGUUUUCAUGUUUGUGCUUCUCAUGGUUUCCUUGUCAAAUCUGCGCCUCAAUGCCUGUCUCGUGUUUCCAGUUUUACUUUGAUAGUCUCAUGUCCUGUGUUCAGUGUUUUGAGUUUUGCUUCCCCCUUGUUUCAUUAUGUCAGAUUAGUCCCAGCUGUGUUUCCCUCCUGUUUUCCAUUCCCUCAUUACUCCCUUGUGUAUUUAAGCCCUGUGUUUUCCUCUGACCUUUGUUGUGUUCUAAACCCUCAUUGCUGUGUGUCUCCUCGGUGCACCUGACAAUUCCUAGUUCUCUGGUCCUGGUUUGUUUUGUAGUUUUGAGUUUCUUGUUUCUAGUUCUCAUGUAGUUUUCUCCAGCAAAUAAAGCUGCCAUUUUGAGUUCAACCUUUGAGUUUGGGUCCUCAUCCUGCCGACAGUUUUAGCUUUUAUCUUCUUUUUGUUGUUGUUGUUGUUGCUUUUCCUUUCAAUGACUUGUAAAGUAUUAAAAAAAAUUGUCAAAGUUGUAUUUGCAAAUGUUCACAUAUCCAGAAACUAUAUAUAAUAUAGUCAAUUGUUCAUUGUAUACUCUGGCAUAUUGAUUGUAAUGGAUUGCAAUACUAAAUAUUUUAAAAGAAAAAAAAAAGCUUUACAAAUAAAAGAAAUGUCUGCCUGUCAGAUGAGUAUUUUUCUGGUGAGAGUAUGUAAUAUCAUUACAAAAUAGUUUUUCUUUAUC